rnacentral:rRNA from 1 species
CUUACAAUUGCGAUGGGGGGACGGAGAAGGCUAGGUGGGCCUGGCGACGGUUGUCCAGGUUCAAGUGCGUAGGCUUAAGAGUUAGGUAAAUCCGGCUCUUUUUAAGGCUGAGACACGACGUCGAGCACCUACGGGUGUGAAGCCAUUGAUGCCAUGCUUCCAGGAAAAGCCUCUAAGCUUCAGAUUGUAAGGAAUCGUACCCCAAACCGACACAGGUGGUCGGGUAGAGAAUACCAAGGCGCUUGAGAGAACUCGGGUGAAG